GAAUCAACGCUGGCGGCGUGCCUCAGACAUGCAAGUCGAACGAUUAAACUUCCUUCGGGAAAGAUAUAAAGUGGCGCACGGGUGAGUAACACGUAGGUAAUGUACCUUUGGGUGGGGAAUAACUUAGGGAAACUUAAGCUAAUACCGCAUAAUGCAGCGGCUUCUUCGGAAGACAGUUGUUAAAGAUUUAUCGCCUAAAGAGCAGCCUGCGGCAGAUUAGCUAGUUGGUAAGGUAACGGCUUACCAAGGCUACGAUCUGUAUCCGACCUGAGAGGGUGGUCGGACACACUGACACUGAAUAACGGGUCAGACUCCUACGGGAGGCAGCAGUCGGGAAUUUUGGGCAAUGGGCGAAAGCCUGACCCAGCAACGCCGCGUG
rnacentral:rRNA from 1 species